AGCAGCCGCGGUAAUUCCAGCUCCAAUAGCGUAUAUUAAAGUUGUUGCAGUUAAAAGCUCGUAGUUGAAUUUCGGGAUUGACACAUCGGUCGUGCCUUAAGGGGUAUGAACUGGUGUAGUCAAUUUCUCACCUUCUGGAGAACCGCGAUGCCCUUAAUUGGGUGCCGCGGGGAACCAGGACCUUUACUUUGAAAAAAUUAGAGUGUUUAAAGCAGGCAUUUUGCUUGAAUACAUUAGCAUGGAAUAAUAAAAUAGGACGGCAUGAUUCUAUUUUGUUGGUUUCUAGGAUCACCGUAAUGAUUAAUAGGGAUAGUUGGGGGCAUUAGUAUUCAAUUGUCAGAGGUGAAAUUCUUGGAUUUAUUGAAGACUAACUACUGCGAAAGCAUUUGCCAAGGAUGUUUUCAUUAAUCAAGAACGAAAGUUAGGGGAUCGAAGACGAUCAGAUACCGUCGUAGUCUUAACCAUAAACUAUGCCGACUAGGAAUCAGACGAUGUUAAUUUUUUAAUGACUCGUUUGGCA
rnacentral:misc_RNA from 1 species